rnacentral:rRNA from 1 species
AUGGUGAUGGCCAGCGCCGGCGUCAACAACAUGCCCCAGGGGGACUCCGAGGAAGGUCGCCUGCGCAGGCGCGCCCGCCUCCACGCGCGCCGCUACGCCCACCAAGCCUCCUCCGCUCCUGCCCCCGGCCCCGCCCCCGCCCCCGCCCCCGAGGAAGGAGGGGAAGUGCAGUCCCCGCCGCCCUCCUCCUACUCCUCCUCAUCCUCCGACUCCAAGGAGGAGGAGUCGGGCUGUGCCUCUGACGCGGUUGUUGCGGCGGCGCCCCAGCUGCUGCCCUCCAAGGACAAGGACAAGGAGAAGGACAAGUCGUGGUGGAGAUGGCCCGUGGCGUUCGGGUCGGUGGCGCUGGCGGGGCGGCUGCGGGAGAUGGAGGACACGGUGUCGCUGCACCCCAGCUUGUGCGCCUGGGCCGACGGCUCGCCCAUGCACCUGUUCGCCGUCUUCGACGGACACGGCGGCCCCCACGCCGCGGCUCUGUGCAGGGAGCAGAUGCACGUCAUCCUCGCCGAGGAGCUGGCCGGCGCCGCGGCAGCCUUCAAAUUCAAUAACCGGCAGUCGGAGCAACCGGCGGCGGCGCCAUCGUCAUCGUCGUCAUCGUGGGAGCAGCAGCAGCGAGAGCGAGAGCGAGAGCAAGAGCAGGAGUCGGAGGAGCAAGUGGCGUGGCGUGGCGCCCUGUCGAGGAGCUUCGCGCGGGCGGACGCGCUGGCGGUGUCGGCGUGCGCGUGCGGGCGCGGGAGUACAUUGAGUGUGCCCAAGUCGUGCUCCUGCCUGCUGUCCUCGGCGCAGAAGGGCGCCAUCGUGGGGUCGACGGCCGUGGUGGCGCUGCUGGUCCGCGACCGGCUCAUCGUGGCCAACUGCGGCGACUCGCGGGCCGUGCUGUCCCGGGGCGGCGUCGCCGUGCCGCUCUCCCACGACCACAAGCCUGACCGGCCGGACGAGAUGGCGCGGAUCAAGGCGGCCGGCGGCAAGGUCAUGUACAUGAACGGGGCGCGCGUCCGCGGCAUCCUCGCCAUGUCCCGAGCGCUAGGGCACAGGCUCCUGAAGCCAGAAGUGAUAUGCGAGCCAGAGAUCAGCAUAACGGAAAGGUCGGAGGACGACGACUGCCUGAUCCUCGCGAGCGACGGGCUGUGGGACGUGAUCUCCAACAAGGUGGCCUGCGACGUGGCCAGGCAAUGCCUGGAAGACGGGAGCCCGACCAGAGCUCCUGCUGCAGCUGGGAGCAGCGAAGCCGCUCCCAGCAGCGGCGGCGCCGCGCCGGUGGUUUCGCAGGAGGAAGAGCCCCGGUGCUUCCGCGCGGCGGCACUCCUCGCGAGGCUGGCCCUCGGGAGGGAGAGCUCUGAUAACAUUAGCGUGGUGGUGGUUGAUCUGAAGGCGAGGAGUUAA